GAGGGUGUAGCACAGUGGUAGAGUGUGUACUUAGCAUGCACGAGGUGCUGGGUUCAAUCCCCUGUACCUCCA
rnacentral:tRNA from 1 species